AGUGAACGCUGGCGGUAGGCCUAACACAUGCAAGUCGAACGGCAGCACAGUAAGAGCUUGCUCUUACGGGUGGCGAGUGGCGGACGGGUGAGGAAUACAUCGGAAUCUACUUUUUCGUGGGGGACAACGUAGGGAAACUUACGCUAAUACCGCAUAAGACCUACGGGUGAAAGCAGGGGAUCUUCGGACCUUGCGCGAUUGAAUGAGCCGAUGUCGGAUUAGCUAGUUGGCGGGGUAAAGGCCCACCAAGGCGACGAUCCGUAGCUGGUCUGGGAGGAUGAUCAGCCACACUGGAACUGAGACACGGUCCAGACUCCUACGGGAGGCAGCAGUGGGGAAUAUUGGACAAUGGGCGCAAGCCUGAUCCAGCCAUACCGCGUGGGUGAAGAAGGCCUUCGGGUUGUAAAGCCCUUUUGUUGGGAAAGAAAAGCAGCAGGUUAAUACCCCGCUGUUCUGACGGUACCCAAAGAAUAAGCACCGGCUAACUUCGUG
rnacentral:rRNA from 1 species